CUUUUGACCCCCUUGGUCAGUACGUGCCCAGGAACCAUGUUCAAUAUCAUCUUGGAUCAAGUGCACUCAGGAUGAUAAACGUGCUGUGAAACCAACUCCACAGCCUGAAUGUCCACAGUCAGACUGGAAAACCUUGGUGAUAGCCCUGGUGUGAGCCUGCCCUUGCUGCUGGGCCCUUCAUGAGCGUGGAGGCCAUGGCAGAGUACAGGGAGGCCAUGACCCCACAUCACUUUCCUUUGAUCUUUUUGCAGGGGGGAGUCUCACCUUCUUCCUCGGUGAGUAUGGGGGCCUGAUCUUCAUCUGGCUGGAGAGAGAAGGGGCCUGAGGCCAGAGGGUAUGGAAGGGACCCUGUGGUGGCCACUCAGACUUUCUCUUUUUCUGGCAGGCUUCCCGGGUGCAACCUGGCCUGCUGCAGUGGGUGAAGUUUUGGUAGGUGAGUGUCAGAGUGAGCCGACCCAGGCCACAUCCUGGCAGUGGAGGCACAGUCACCCGGGGCAGGGCCAGGAUCUUGGUAUAUCCUCAGAUCUCAGUGGGCAGCGACAUGAAGUCAGGCAAUUUCUUGCAACCACCACCGAGGCCCCGAAAAGCACUGGUCGUCAGGGAGCUCCUCCCCUUGGCCCCCAGCCUGUGCCAGCCCUGGCCCGGCUGCCACACCUCUGUUUCCUAGGCUGGGGACCCAGCUUGUCUCUCCUUGUUUCUUCCCACUGCACUGUGGUGCUUCAGUGGCCACCAGCCUCGUCACAUACACCAGC
rnacentral:lncRNA from 1 species